CCUACGGGUGGCAGCAGUGGGGAAUAUUGGACAAUGGGGGAAACCCUGAUCCAGCGACGCCGCGUGAGUGAAGAAGUAUUUCGGUACGUAAAGCUCUAUCAGCAGGAAAGAAAAUGACGGUACCUGACUAAGAAGCCCCGGCAAACUACGUGCCAGCCGCCGCGGUAAUACGUAGGGGGCAAGCGUUAUCCGGAUUUACUGGGGGAAAAGGGAGCGCAGACGGCUGUGCACGUCUGGGGUGAAAGGCGGGGCCCAACCCCCGGACUGCUCUGGAAACUGUAAAGCUGGAGUGCAGGAGAGGUAAGCGGAAUUCCUAGUGUAGCGGUGAAAUGCGUAGAUAUUAGGAGGAACACCAGUGGCGAAGGCGGCUUACUGGACUGCAACUGACGUUGAGGCUCGAAAGCGUGGGAAGCAAACAGGAUUAGAUACCCCAGUAGUC
rnacentral:rRNA from 1 species